GACGAACGCUGGCGGCGUGCUUAACACAUGCAAGUCGAACGGAGUGGCGAACGGGUGAGUAUUACGUGAGUAACCUGCCCUCAACUGUGGGAUAAGCCUGGGAAACUGGGUCUAAUACUGCAUAGUUGGGGAUGGGCUCGCGGCCUAUGAGCUGGUUGGUGGGGUGAUGGCCCAACAAGGCGGGGUGGUGUUGCAGGCCGUAGAGGGUGAUCGGCAACAGUAGGACGGAGAUACGGCCCAGGCGCCUACGGGUGGGAGCAGUGGGGGAUAUUGCACAAUGGGCGCACGCCCGAUGCAGCGACGCCGCGUGAGGGUUGAAGGCUUUCGGGUUUUAAGCCUCGUUCGGUACAGAACGGGUAUGUGCAGAAGAAGCGCCGGCUAACUACGUGCCAGCAGCCGCGGUAAUAC
rnacentral:rRNA from 1 species